rnacentral:rRNA from 1 species
UUGAACGCUGGCGGUAUGCUUUACACAUGCAAGUCGAACGGGCUUUGGGGCUUGCCCCAAAGUUAGUGGCGAACGGGUGAGUAACAUAUCGGAACAUAUCCGGAAGUGGGGGAUAACGUAGCGAAAGUUACGCUAAUACCGCAUAUGCCCUGAGGGGGAAAGGGGGGGAUCGCAAGACCUCUCGCUUUCGGAGUGGCCGAUAUCGGAUUAGCUAGAUGGUGAGGUAAAGGCUCACCAUGGCGACGAUCCGUAGCUGGUCUGAGAGGACGACCAGCCACACUGGAACUGAGACACGGUCCAGACUCCUACGGGAGGCAGCAGUGGGGAAUUUUGGACAAUGGGCGCAAGCCUGAUCCAGCCAUACCGCGUGAGUGAAGAAGGCCUUCGGGUUGUAAAGCUCUUUCAGCCGGAAAGAAAUCGCACCUAUUAAUACUGGGUGCGGAUGACGGUACCGGAAGAAGAAGCACCGGCUAACUACGUGCCAGCAGCCGCGGUAAUACGUAGGGUGCGAGCGUUAAUCGGAAUUACUGGGCGUAAAGCGUGCGCAGGCGGUUUGGUAAGACAGACGUGAAAUCCCCGGGCUUAACCUGGGAACUGCGUUUGUGACUGCCAGACUAGAGUGCGGCAGAGGGGGGUAGAAUUCCACGUGUAGCAGUGAAAUGCGUAGAUAUGUGGAGGAAUACCAAUGGCGAAGGCAGCCCCCUGGGUCGACACUGACGCUCAUGCACGAAAGCGUGGGGAGCAAACAGGAUUAGAUACCCUGGUAGUCCACGCCCUAAACGAUGUCAACUAGGUGUUGGGGAAGGAGACUUCUUUAGUACCGCAGC